AACGAACGCUGGCGGCAUGCCUAACACAUGCAAGUCGAACGAAGGCUUCGGCCUUAGUGGCGCACGGGUGCGUAACGCGUGGGAAUCUGCCCCUGGGUUCGGAAUAACAGCGGGAAACUGCUGCUAAUACCGGAUGAUGACGUAAGUCCAAAGAUUUAUCGCCCAAGGAUGAGCCCGCGUAGGAUUAGCUAGUUGGUGGGGUAAAGGCCCACCAAGGCGACGAUCCUUAGCUGGUCUGAGAGGAUGAUCAGCCACACUGGGACUGAGACACGGCCCAGACUCCUACGGGAGGCAGCAGUGGGGAAUAUUGGACAAUGGGCGAAAGCCUGAUCCAGCAAUGCCGCGUGAGUGAUGAAGGCCUUAGGGUUGUAAAGCUCUUUUACCCGGGAUGAUAAUGACAGUACCGGGAGAAUAAGCUCCGGCUAACUCCGUG
rnacentral:rRNA from 1 species